rnacentral:rRNA from 1 species
UACGUAGGGUCCGAGCGUUAUCCGGUAUUAUUGGGCGUAAAGCAUACGUAGGCGGUUUGGCAAGACAGUAGUUAAAUCCCCAGGCUCAACCUGGAAAUCGCUACUGUGACUACCAAACUAGUCGAUAGCAGGGGCAAGCGGAAUUCUCGGUGUAGGAGUGAAAUCCGUUGAGAUCGAGAGGAACACCAAUGGCGAAGGCAGCUUGCUAGGCUAUAUGAGACGCUGAGGUAUGAAAGCGUGGGGAGCGAACGGG